GAAUAAAAUGUUAUUUCGAGUGCCCCCUCUGGCGUUCGGCUCUUGGGGGAGAAUAGGGAAUCGGGUGAAAGUCCCGGACGGAACCGCCGCUGUAAGCGCCGAGGGCGCGCUCGCCGACGAAAGUCGGUCACUGGGAAACUGGGAAGGCAGAGCGCGCACCGCAGGAGUCUAUCUCCGUAAGCGUAAGUCAGAAGACCUGCUUUGAAAUUGCUCUGCCC
rnacentral:ncRNA from 2 species